UAGCUAGCUACAUGUACGAUACAUGUGUAUGCAC
rnacentral:ribozyme from 1 species